CCGGUUGAUUUCUACGGCGCGCCCGACCAUAUUCCCCAUGCGGUUGAUGACCGGUUCGUAAUAACGUUUCAGGACCCGGGGGCGGUACCCGGCGCCUCCACCAUAAGCGCAUCGUGAUGCGCUUCUGAUGGGGGCGAAACAGGAUCGACUGGGCGGUAAAGGGAUCGCGAGUCCUAUCUCGUUUCGGCGAGAGACGGUGCGACUGUCGGUAAGGUUUCGACCGGUUUGGCGUAGGCGACCCUAUUCCAGGCAUCUGACCAAAACUCUAAAUGCCAACGAUAACGUUGUCAUGGAUGCCCGCCUCGCGGCGUAAGCAUCUUGCGGUAGGGUAACCGUAGAAACAGAACCCGGAGCU
rnacentral:tmRNA from 1 species